AUGCACAGCGCGCUCUGGGAUCCCUGACUGAGGGAUAGACCACAGGCUGCUAGUUGUCCGGGUUUCGCAAGUUUGCCCUCUGGUUUUACUGUUAAAGAGAGGCCAUUGUAACUGAGAACUAGCUUUGAAUAUAGCUGCUGCUACAUCUUUCCAGGCUUAUGAGAUAAUCCUCUUUUAGGUACCCAGGUAUUUAGUAUCUGUCUUUCAAAGGUGUUUAAGAGAUGUCUCUGAGGUUAAGAGCACUGACUGUUUAUUCAGAGGUCCUGAGUUCAAUUCCCAGCAACUACAUAUGGCUCACAACCAUCUGCAAUGAGAUUGGGUACUCUCUUCUGGUAUGUCUGAAGACAGCAACAGUGUACUCAUAUACCUGAAUAAAUGAAUAAAAUCUAUUAAAAAUUCAAAU
ensembl:lincRNA RIKEN cDNA 1110019D14 gene